rnacentral:rRNA from 1 species
CCUACGAGAGGCAGCAGUGGGGAAUAUUGGGCAAUGGACGCAAGUCUGACCCAGCAACGCCGCGUGAAGGAAGAAGGCUUUCGGGUUGUAAACUUCUUUUAAGGGGGAAGAGCAGAAGACGGUACCCCUUGAAGAAGCCACGGCUAACUACGGGACAGAAGACGCGGUAAGACGGAGGUGGCCAGCGUUGUCCGGAUUUACUUGGUGUAAAGGGCGGGCAGCCGGAGAGCCAAGUCAGAUGUGAAAUCCACGGGCUCAACCCGUGAACUGCAUUUGAAACUGUUUCCCUUGAGUGUCGGAGAGGUAAUCGGAAUUCCGUGUGUAGCGGUGAAAUGCGUAGAUAUAAGGAAGAACACCAGUGGCGAAGGCGGAUUACUGGACGAUAACUGACGGUGAGGCGCGAAAGCGUGGGGAGCAAACAGGAUUAGAUACCCCUGUAGUC